GCAGCCAUUGCGGUAAUUCCAGCUCCAAUAGCGUAUAUUAAAGUUGCUGCGGUUAAAAAGCUCGUAGUUGAAUUUCGGAAUUGAUGCAUCGGUCGUGCCUUAAGGGGCAUGAACUGGUGUAGCCAAUUUCUCACCUUCUGGUGAAUUGUGAUGUUCUUAAUGGGUGUCUCAAUGAACUAGAAUUUUUUACUUUGAAAAAAUUAGAGUGUUUAAAGCAGGCAUUAAUUUGCUUGAAUACAUUAGCAUGGAAUAAUGAAAUAGGACAGUGGUUCCGUUUUGUUGGUUUCUAGGAUCACGUAAUGAUUAAUAGGGACAGUUGGGGGCAUUAGUAUUCAAUUGUCAGAGGUGAAAUUCUUGGAUUUAUUGAAGACUAACUAUUGCGAAAGCAUUUGCCAAGGAUGUUUUCAUUAAUCAAGAACGAAAGUUAGGGGAUCAAAGACGAUUAAGUACGUCGUAGUCCUAACCAUAAACUAUACCAACUAGGAAUCAGACGAUGUUAAUUUUUUAAUGACUCGUUUGGUACCUUACGGG
rnacentral:rRNA from 1 species